UCGAUGCCUCUCGAGCAGUGCGACCCGUGCAUUUGUUUGACCGCUUUGGGGUGGCUCGGGGUGAUGUUUGACUCCUCGGCCCUUGGGUCGGAGGCGCCCGCCUUGCGUGGCCUCCUCCUGGCCGAACAACAAAACCCCGGCGCUGGAUGCGCCAAGGAACUAGAAAUCGUUCAGUGCUCCCCCGUUGACCCGGAGACGGUGCUCGUGGGUUGGGCGUUACGACACACGUGAAUACG
rnacentral:rRNA from 1 species